rnacentral:rRNA from 1 species
CAGUCGCCGCGGGAAUACGAACCGUGCGAACGUUAUUCGGAAUCACUGGGCUUAAAGCGCGUGUAGGCGGAUGGGAACGUCGGUCGUUGAAAUCCCCCGGCUUAACCGGGGAAGUGGCGCCGAUACGACCCGUCUGGAGGAACGUAGGGGGAGCUGGAACUUCCGGUGGAGCGGUGAAAUGCGUUGAGAUCGGAAGGAACGCCCGUGGCGAAAGCGAGCUCCUGGACGUUUUCUGACGCUGAGACGCGAAAGCCAGGGGAGCGAACGGGAUUAGAUACCCCAGUAGUCCCUGUCUCUUAUU